rnacentral:rRNA from 1 species
GAUGAACGCUGGCGGCGUGCCUAAUACAUGCAAGUCGAACGAAACUUCUUUAUCACCGAGUGCUUGCACUCACCGAUAAAGAGUUGAGUGGCGAACGGGUGAGUAACACGUGGGCAACCUGCCCAAAAGAGGGGGAUAACACUUGGAGACAGGUGCUAAUACCGCAUAACCAUAGUUACCGCAUGGUAACUAUGUAAAAGGUGGCUAUACUACCGCUUUUGGAUGGGCCCGCGGCGCAUUAGCUAGUUGGUAGGGUAAAGGCUUACCAAGGCAAUGAUGCGUAGCCGAAUUGAGAGGUUGAUCGGCCACAUUGGGACUGAGACACGGCCCAAACUCCUACGGGAGGCAGCAGUAGGGAAUCUUCCACAAUGGGCGAAAGCCUGAUGGAGCAACGCCGCGUGGGUGAAGAAGGUCUUCGGAUCGUAAAACCCUGUUGUUAGAGAAGAAAGUGCGUGAGAGUAACUGUUCACGUUUCGACGGUAUCUAACCAGAAAGCCACGGCUAACUACGUG